rfam:Lactobacillus amylophilus DSM 20533 = JCM 1125 strain DSM 20533 NODE_16, whole genome shotgun sequence.
GCUACCUUUAAUCCAGUCCAGAGAGGCUGACAAGGAGUCGUUUAGUUGUUCGUGCAUAGUCCAAUGGGAUUACUGCGCGGACCAAUUAAUUACGCCUUCGUCAGUGGACGAAGGCUUUUUGUUU